rnacentral:rRNA from 1 species
GACGAACGCUGGCGGCGUGGAUUAGGCAUGCAAGUCGGACGGUAGGGCUUUAUCGUAAGAUAGAGUUUGAGAGUGGCGAACGGGUGAGUAACACGUAGGAAUCUACCCUUAAGACGGGGACAACCCAGGGAAACUUGGGCUAAUACCGGAUGAGAGUGCGAGAGAUUGCAUUUAAAAGGAUGGCGAAAGUUGUCGCUUAGGGAUGAGCCUGCGGUCUAUUAGUUAGUUGGUGAGGUAAGAGCUCACCAAGGCGAUGAUAGAUAGGCGGCCUGAGAGGGCGACCGGCCACACUGGGACUGAGACACGGCCCAGACUCCUACGGGAGGCAGCAGUGGGGAAUAUUGCACAAUGGGCGAAAGCCUGAUGCAGCGACGCCGCGUGAGGGAUGACGGCCUCGGUUGUAACUACUUCUAGUCAGGAAGAAGACGAAAGUAGACGGUACGUCGCAGAAGAAGACGACCGGCCGUAACCGUACCGUACGUCCGACGCCAGCCGGCCGGGUAAAACGGUAACCGUUACGUACUUAC